ensembl:lncRNA
GUGAGAGUUGAGCAACUCAUGUUUGUUCUCGUUGUCCGGCAUGUGCUGAAGUCUGGGUGCUUUGUUUGUUGCUCGCCAGUACCGUGCGGGUGAGCAAACCAUACUAAGGAGAAGGUUAGACCUGAACCAGACCUGGUGAGCCCAGGGUCCUACCUGCUGGUGCACAGGUGCAUUGGGCCAAGAAGUCAUGCGACUCUCAUGUCUUUCAAGCAGAAAAUGGACCCUGCGAUGCGAUAAUGGGCAAUCUGUCACUGUGUGUACCUGUUGAGUCCACCAACAAUCCUCCAUCGGCGGGGGUCGCAGGGGGGCUGGAGUCUAUCCCAGCCAACUUCGGGCAAGAGACAGGGUACAUCCUGGACUGGUGGACACACCUACGGGUAAUUUAGAGUCCCCAAUCAACCUGAUCCCCAGAGCAUGUCUUUGGACUGUGGGAGGAAGCCGGAGUACCCAGAGAGAACCCACGCAGACACAGGGAGAACAUGCAGACUCCACACAGAAAGGCCACUGGGCGGAGUCAAACCCAGGACCUUCUUGCUGUGAGUUGACAGUGCUAACCAUCACACCACCAUGCUAACCAUCACACCACCGUGCCGCCCUAUUCUGCAGAAUCCUAUUCCUAUCCUAUCUGCUCCUCCGUCAUGUCGUUUUCCGCCGCGAUGCAGAGGGUUUUUGAUCAUGCCACUCCCGGAUGGGAGGCGGCCCGGGGACUGUUUGGGCUGCAGCAGGGAACGCGAUCCGUUUCCGACUAUUCCAUUGACUUUCACACGGGGAGAGUGACUGGAACCAAGCCUCCCUUCGCGAUGCCUUCUACCGCGGAUUAUCCAGCCGCGUAAAGGACGAAUUGGCAGCUCGGGAUCUCCCUGCUGGUUUAAACGCGUUGGUCGCUCUCUCCAUUCGGAUCGACGGCCGUCUGCGGGAGCGGAGAAGAGAGAGGGUCGCUUACGCAGCUUUAGGAUCACCGCCGGAAGGUGAAUUUAGAAAUGCCCUCUCGACCCCGAAUCAAGGCCGGCAAAUCUCCUCGACCGGGACCUGGCCAUCAAGAUGGGGAUUGAGCAAGUAGCUUUGGAAAGACCCAUCCGGGCCACGGCGUUGGACGGUCGGCUACUCUGCAGGGUUACCCAUCAAACCACCCCUCUGCGCUUGGAGAUGUCAGGUAAACACAGUGAAGCACUUACCUUUCAUGUACUUCAUGCACCUCAAAAACCAGUCAUUUUGGGAUUUCCAUGGUUUAGGAGGCAUAAUCCGCAUAUUGACUGGGCUACUGGGACUAUAUUUGGGUGGAGUUCUCACUGUCACGCGGUUUGUUUAAAGCCUGCAUCUGCCAUUACCCGCUCCGUGUUUCCUGAGUCCCCAGAUCUCACUGGCGUACCGGAGGAUUACCACGACGUGAGGGAGGUGUUCAACAAGGCUCGGGCCACCUCACUACCACCUCACCGCCCGUACGAUUGUGCUAUAGACCUCCUUCCGGGACCUCGCCCCCAAGAGGGCGACUAUUCUCUCUGUCGGCCCCUGAGACUAGGACUAUGGAGAAGUACAUCAGCGACUCCUUGGCUUCCGGCCUCAUUAGACCGUCGUCAACCCCGGCCGGCGCUGGGGUUUUUUUGUGAGCAAGAAGGACGGAUCCCUGCGACCCAGGAUUGAUUACAGAGGACUCAAUAACAUCACCAUCAAAAACAGACCCUGCUCGGCAGUUUGUGGUGGAGGUGGAUGCGUCAGACACCGGCGUAGGAGCGGUUCUCUCGCAGCGGUCGUCUACAGAUCAGAAGGUUCACCCAUGCUAAAGCUUGCACUGGAGGAGUGGAGACACUGGCUGGAGGGAGCUGACCAGCCGUUUAUGGUGUGGACUGACCACAAAAACUUAGAGUACAUUCGCUCUGCCAAGCGGUUGAACUCCAGACAGGCAAGGUGGGCCCUAUUUUUUUACCGUUUUGAGUUUACUCUAUCCUACUUCCCGGGCACGAAGAAUGUCAAACCUGAUGCCCUGUCCCGUCAGUACCAGUCCAGGAGCUGCGUUCAGAGUCCGGAGAACAUUCUCUCUCCUGAAUGUGUUGUUGGGGCGGUGACCUGGGAGGUGGAAGAGGAAGUAAAACGGUCCCAUACAGCGCAACCGGCGCCGAGUGCCUGUCCAGAUAACCUUCUGUUUGUCCCAGCGAAUCUGCGUUCGAAGGUCCUGCAGUGGGGUCACUCUUCCCGCCUGGCUUGUCACCCGGGGGUGAUCCGCACGCUAGCUCUGCUUAAACAACGGUUUUGGUGGCCGACUAUGGAGAAGGACGCAAGAGAAUUCGUCGGUGCCUGCAUGAUCUGCGCUCAGCAUAAGGGCUCUCGCAAGGCUCCAUCCGGCCUCCUACAUCCCCUGCCCAUCCCUCAUCGUCCCUAGUCCCACAUUGCUUUGGAUUUUGUAAACGGUCUACCCCCAUCUGAAGGUAACAGUUAUUCUAACGGUAAUUGAUCGCUUCUCCAAGUCUGCUCAACUCAUUCCACUACCUAAGCUGCCUUCUGCUAAAGAGACAGCAGAAUUACUAUUACAGAGAGUGUUCCGCCUGCAUGGUCUGCCCGUCGAGGUGGUCUGCGGAUUACCUGCCUGCCCAUCUGGAAUUGUUUGCCUCCCGACGAAUCUCCCGGUUUUGGACCCAGCCUGAACUUUCAUUAAAACCCCUCUGUCUUGUCCAUCGUGUCCGAGUCGUGCGUUUGGGUUCUCCUGUACUCCGGUACCAGUAACCGUGACAAUUUUAAGCACUUCCUAGACGCUGUACUUUGACGAACUCCUCUCUGGGACAGCCUUUUCAAAUUUGGACAAAACGGUCCCACAGUGAUUAAGUAAAAACUGUUUUUGUGUUACGCUGUUGCCAUGACAACUGGUUAUUCAUAUUCGAAAUGAAGAUGCUUAUGAGGGACUAAAUAUGUUCUAAUCUUUACUAAACUUGAAAAACACAUUAACAGUUAUAGAUGUAGUUACUUCAUAUGAUUUUAAUACUUCCAGACGGCAUUUUGGCUCGAUAGCGCCCCCUACACGUCUUCAUAAAGCAGCCCCAGCAACUGCUGGGAUCUAGGUGCACUCACCAGAAGGCAUCAGCUUUGAUCCAGCUGUACAGAUAUCUCUUCCUUAUCAGCAGAGUGGGCUUGAGAAUAAUUAAUCAAGUUGGUCAAGUUGUUUGUGACUGACAUGAGUGGACAUGUUUACAUACAGGUGUUCCGCAGAGACACAUUCAAUGUGUUCAGUUUGCAAAAUAUAUCUGCCAGACUUCACAAGUUAAUACUUGAGAUUAGCUCAUAUUCUUUGCCUCAACUGAAUGGAGGUGAUCCUACAUAUUUAUUUACCUUUUGCAGGUCUUUGUACAACAAGGCAAGUAGCCAAGUGGUGAGAUAUUCUGUUUACAAAGCCAGACUUCGAAUCCCACACCAGGCACUGAUUUUCUUGUCUUUUUUUUGUCUUUUUGACGGCAUGUCCGGCUGACCGCUGACCCCCCCCCCCGACAUGCAAGGGGAGGCGAAGGCCCGUUCAUCGCUGCUUGCAGCUUUAAUUUCACUUUAACUAUUGCUUCUGCUAGUUAUAAAAUUCUUUAAAAAUGUUAAACUCCAGCCAGUUGACUUUUUAUGACUUCUCUUCACAGAAUGGUUUGUAAUAUUUAACAGAUUUCGUUUUCCAUGAAAUUUUAAUCAAGUCACAGCAAAAGUGUUAAGCCACUGUAUGUCUGACUACGUAG